UUUUAAGGGAAAAAAUAAUAUGUAUAUAUACAGAACUUCAUAUAUCUUAUCUGCCUAUCUAUGCACUCAAGAGAGCAAAAAAGAACUUACGUUAAAAAAAUCUCAUUUGCAUAAAUUUGUUAUGAACAGGAGCGAUGUGAAAACCCUGUAAGACGAUCAGGACGUCUCCUUUUGGGCGUGUUUAUCUUAGGAGGUUAUGUUGAAUACCUAUGUUUAUUUAUUCUGCUCAGAAGUAGAGGUCCUUUUCAAAGCUAUUUCUGAUCAAGAGAACCAACCCAGCUUCCAGGUGAUUUUGAUCUUCUGUGGAAGUGGUCAUCUUAGAGAAAGGAUACUCAAUACCAAUAUUUGUUUAUUUUCCCUGAAAUAGUGAUCGCUUUCAGAGAUGGUCGUCUACGAAAAAGGAUCACCACCAGAGGAUUUACUGUAUUACAGUCCAGACUUGCGCUCAUGUUUAUUGAUAGAGACAUCAGUUCAGUUCCUUUCUACAUCAGUUUGUUAUAAAUACUAGUAGCAUAUUUCCUUUAAAAGCUUUCUUUUAUUUUUAUAUGGAAUUUCAUCUGUUUUUCCAUUGUUUUCAGUUUGUUCUCAAAGUUGGAACUUCAAAGCCCAGAAGUAUUUUUAAACAUAUAUUUCACAUUUCAUUCUAACAAAAUACGCGAUAUACAAUUUUGUAUUAUAAAGACCAAAUUGAUUGCUCUUGCUUCUUACUGCAUCAAAUUAGCCUUAACUAAAUUCUCAUCACAGAAGUUAGUCUUACUUUAGAAAUUUAUAACUAAACAUUUUACCAAAUUUGUAAUUUUAAACUGCAAAGUGUAAAAUUCCACAUUGUUUGUUCAAUAGGAGAAAAAAGUCGUUUGUGUUUUACAUUUUUUAAGUAUCUAACUGCUUUACAGAAUAAUAAACAUGUAAGCAUUUUCAACUGGAUUAUAAAACUUACUCAUAAUUUGGCCGUUCAUGAGAAUUUUGGAUUUUACUUACUUCAUUUCAAUAUUGUUGCUAGUGAAUUUUGUGCCUACAGCGAUGUUGUGGAAGAUAUAGAACAUAUUUUACUACAUUGUAAGUUGCAUGGAGUCCAGAAGUGCAUUUAAAGUGAGCUUAGGGCAGCUCUCUAUUUCUCCUGAACGCAACCGUUCAGGAGAAUUAGAAAGCUGCCCUAAACUCACUAUUUGUAAGUUGCAUGCCUCCUGUUUUCUAUGAUCUUGUUGGGAGCUCCGAAGCAUUUGCAGUCUUGUGCGACUUUAUUAUUAUUAUUAUUUUUUUUUUGUUCUUUGAGUUAUUGUUACUAUUAUUUAUAUGAUUGAAUUUUUGUCUUUCAUAUGUAAUUGUAUUAUUUUGUGUAUUGUCUAUGUUUGAUUAUGUUAUGUAUUGAUGUACUGUAUUGUUGAUAUAUUUUUCCUUUGUAUUAAUAUUAAGUAUUAUUUCAUUUUUAUUAAUGCCGUAUUAUUAUUAAGUUCAUUUAUUUUCUUUUAUAGGACUAUUAACAUAGUUUAAUUAUUUAUGGCAUAUUUUAG